rnacentral:sRNA from 1 species
AACCUCGAGUUUAUUUAAGGAAUCCUAGUUAACGCUUUCCAACUUUCUUAGUCCUAAUAAGCUAUAAAAAAAUAUGUCAUAAAUUUCUAAUUUUAAUUGACUAAAACAAAAUUCUUAGAAAAGUCCGGCCAUGUUUCAUCGUGUGACUCGAUUCUAAAUAUUCAAGAUAAGCUAAUAAGAUAAGCUAAAAAGGAUGUAGCGUUCCAUUACGAUUCCUGUAUGCUGCCAUUAAAACAAUAAUGGAGGGCUCAGCUGAAAUAACGGACGUACUAGGUUUACAUGAAGUUCAAGUGUUUCAAGCUAGACUACCUGAUCUAGAGUCACGACGCAACGCUUGCAACAAGAAAUCCGGCCAUGCAGACUAUAUUCCUCUGCGGGACUUUACCAUAAGCAAUUUACCCAGAGAUUACUUCGACGAGGAUGUCGUUCAACUCGUCAGAGCUAUAGCUGACCUGACCGUCAAAAUUAGUUUAGCGUCUGUAUUAUAUAAGAUAUGAUAAUUGAUGUUUUCAUCUUUCUCCUAAAAUAAUGUUCUAAAAAACUAUUUUUAAUACUAAAUUAAGUGUUUUCUGUUAUACGGGCUACUAAUAAUGUAAUGAAAGUCCUUUUAAAUGGAAAAAAAAUGUGUUAGUUAUAAAAGUCAAAUAUAUUUUAAAAUAAAAUUUUAAUAAGCAAAGUUAACUUUUAUAGACUACAGUUAUUAUUGUACACAAUAGUAAAGGUUGAUCGUUAUCCUAUUAAAUAAGAGAAAGUCUUCUCCCUUGAGCCUUUGACUUAUGACCUUCACCUUCACCUUCACCUAUCCCUAUCCCUAUCCCUUAGUCGACCGUUGUUCUCCGUUCCUCUCUGCCUUGGAUAGAACCUUUUUCAAUGACAAGUCCAUCCUUUCUUUUAUGUUGUCUUCCCAUCGCUAUUUCUGUCUGCCUCUCCUUUUUCCUGGUACUAUUCCCUGAAGGAAGGUCUUUGCGAGCUCCCAAGUCCUUGUAAUGUGGCUUUAGAGUUUUAGCUUGCGUUUUUUUUUAAAUAGUUAGCAGGUCAUCAGUGUAUUAACCUUGUCUCUAUAAUCUCUCCGUUUGUGAAACGGUCAUUAAAUGUAAUAGCUAGGAUCUGGUUUAGCAUCUCAAUUCCGUUGCUAGGAUCCUCCUUUCUAGCUCUGUAGUCAGCGACCAAGACUCGCAAGAAUAUAAGAAUGUGGCCUUGACCAGGGAGCUCAUCAGUAUGCCUUUACGAAACCUUUAAUUAGCUAUUCGUUCAUUAACAUCCGUUAUGCCAGACUGACAUUGUACCAUAUCUUCUUAACAAAUCAGGUCCAUUAAAUACAUAUGAAUUUUAACUAAUGUAAUGAUAAGAAGUUGGAAUGUCUCUGUUUUGCUUUGUAGUUUAGUUAUCAAAUGUAUGUAAUAGUAACAUUAAUAAAUCUAAACAUCUUAUGG